rnacentral:lncRNA from 1 species
GGAUUAAUAUGUUGGAUGUUUUUUUGAUUGGUUGAGAUGUUUUUUGGUUGGAUGACGAUUACUCGGAUAGUUGAGUAAGACAACUCAUAUCCUAACAGUCGGGAAAGGGAAUAGAAGACUCUAGACCACUUUCUUUUUCAUCCUUAAUUAUGGAAAGGAUUUGAUAAUAAUUAAGGUGUUUUGAAUGGAUGACGAAUACUCAGAUAAUCGAGUAAGACAACUCGUAUCCUAAUAAUCGGGAAGAGGAAUACAAGACUUUAGACCGCUUUCU